rnacentral:rRNA from 1 species
GACGAACGCUGGCGGCGUGCUUAACACAUGCAAGUCGAACGGUAAGGCCCUUUCGGGGGUACACGAGUGGCGAACGGGUGAGUAACACGUGGGUGAUCUUCCCUGCACUUUGGGAUAAGCCUGGGAAACUGGGUCUAAUACCGGAUAGGACUACGCGAUGCAUGUCGUGUGGUGGAAAGCUUUUGCGGUGUGGGAUGGGCCCGCGGCCUAUCAGCUUGUUGGUGGGGUGAUGGCCUACCAAGGUGACGACGGGUAGCCGGCCUGAGAGGGUGUCCGGCCACACUGGGACUGAGAUACGGCCCAGACUCCUACGGGAGGCAGCAGUGGGGAAUAUUGCACAAUGGGCGCAAGCCUGAUGCAGCGACGCCGCGUGGGGGAUGACGGCCUUCGGGUUGUAAACCCCUUUCAGCACAGACGAAGCGUAAGUGACGGUAGGUGCAGAAGAAGUACCGGCCAACUACGUG